GACGAACGCUGGCGGCGUGCUUAACACAUGCAAGUCGAACGGAAAGGCCCUGCUUUUGUUGGGUGCUCGAGUGGCGAACGGGUGAGUAACACGUGAGUAACCUGCCCUUGACUUUGGGAUAACUUCAGUAAACUGGGGCUAAUACGUGAUAGUAGCUCCUGCUGCAUGGUGGGGGUUGGAAAGUUGCGGCGGUUGGGGAUGGACUCGCGGCUUAGCAGCUUGUUUGUGGGGUAGUGGCUUACCAAGGCUUUGACGGGUAGCCGGCCUGAGAGGGUGACCGGCCACAUUGGGCCUGAGCUACGGCCCAGACUCCUACGGGAGGCAGCAGUGGGGAAUAUUGCACAAUGGGCGGAAGCCUGAUGCAGCAACGCCGCGCGCGGGAUGACGGCCUCCGGGUUGUAACCCGCUUUCGCCUGUGACGAGGCGUGAGUGACGGUAAUGGGUAAAGAAGCACCGGCUAACUACGUG
rnacentral:rRNA from 1 species